rnacentral:rRNA from 1 species
UGUGUAGGCGGUUCUCCAAGUUUGGUGUGAAAUCUCCCGGCUCAACCGGGAGGGUGCGCCGAAAACUGGGGGGCUAGAGUGCGGGAGGGGAGAGUGGAAUUCCUGGUGUAGCGGUGAAAUGCGUAGAUAUCAGGAGGAACACCGGUGGUGUAGACGGCUCUCUGGACCGUAACUGACGCUGAGACACGAAAGCGUGGGUAGCAAACAGGAUUAGAUACCCUGGUAGUCCACGCCCUAAACGAUGCAUAUUUGGUGUAGGUCAUUCAGUUGAUCUGUGCCGGAGCUAACGCGUUAAAUAUGCCGCCUGGGGAGUACAGUCGCAAGGCUGAA